rnacentral:rRNA from 1 species
CUACCUAUAAGACUGGGAUAACUUCGGGAAACCGGAGCUAAUACCGGAUAAUAUAUUGAACCGCAUGGUUCAAUAGUGAAAGACGGUUUUGCUGUCACUUAUAGAUGGAUCCGCGCCGCAUUAGCUAGUUGGUAAGGUAACGGCUUACCAAGGCAACGAUGCGUAGCCGACCUGAGAGGGUGAUCGGCCACACUGGAACUGAGACACGGUCCAG